UACGGAGGAUCCGAGCGUUAUCCGGAUUUAUUGGGUUUAAAGGGUGCUCAGGCGGGGGAUUAAGUCGGCGGUGAAAUUUUGCAGCUCAACUGUAAAAGUGCCUUCGAAACUGGUUUCCUUGAGUGUGGAUGAGGUAGGCGGAAUUUGUGGUGUAGCGGUGAAAUGCAUAGAUAUCACGAGGAACUCCGAUUGCGCAGGCAGCUUACUAAACCAUAACUGACGCUCAAGCACGAAGGCGUGGGGAUCAAACAGGAUUAGAUACCCUGGUAGU
rnacentral:rRNA from 1 species